rnacentral:lncRNA from 1 species
AAUCCCAAAUGUGAAGGACUCUAGUCCUUCUCAAACCACCAUAGUGCGAGCCUUGCCAAAACUAUGCAUCAAGAGUCCUUUCUAGCUAUGACUCUAGCUAAUGACACUAUGAAGCUAUGUGGCACCAUCCAAUGGCUACCAUACCCAAAUCCAAAUCCAAAUUAAGCCUUGGUUCAAUUUGGUUUAAUCAAAAAGUUGGAUUUAAAUCAAAUCGAACCUGAUUCAAGGAGCUAAAGUUUCUACAUGUGCUAGUAUGCUUAUCGAGAACCCGACUGGAUCUAAAAUUUCAAUCAACCAUAUCAAAUGAGUCCUUGGUUAAUUCUUUUAUAUGUGUGAUCUAUUGAAUUCUAUAUCUAACCAGCAGUAGAUCCGGAUGCAUGUUGACCUAGUCUGAUUAGAACCCUUCUAAUCAAUUAAGAUCCAAACCAUAUCGACCCGAGUUUAGUAAUUAAAAUUCUUUCUAAUUAAGGAUCAAAUUAAAUAUUUAAAUUUAAUCAAACUUAUAAGUUAAGAUUGACAUCUAGUAAUGUAUCAUAACUAUCCAAAAGAUAUAAAAUUUGAUAAAAAUACUAAAUAUAUCCUUCAAUAGUAAGUUACCAUGC